rnacentral:rRNA from 1 species
GACAGAGGUGCCAAGCGUUAUCCGGAAUUAUUGGGCGUAAAGAGCUCGUAGGCGGUUUGUCGCGUCUGCCGUGAAAGUCCGGGGCUCAACUCCGGAUCUGCGGUGGGUACGGGCAGACUAGAGUGAUGUAGGGGAGACUGGAAUUCCUGGUGUAGCGGUGAAAUGCGCAGAUAUCAGGAGGAACACCGAUGGCGAAGGCAGGUCUCUGGGCAUUAACUGACGCUGAGGAGCGAAAGCAUGGGGAGCGAACAGG